UACGAAGGGGGCUAGCGUUGCUCGGAAUCACUGGGCGUAAAGCGCACGUAGGCGGACUCUUAAGUCGGUGGUGAAAUCCUGGAGCUCAACUCCAGAACUGCCUUCGAUACUGGCGUGCUUGAGGACUGGAGAGGAGACUGGAAUUCAUGGUGUAGCAGUGAAAUGCGUAGAGAUCAUGAGGAAGACCAGUGGCGAAGGCGGGUCUCUGGACAGUUCCUGACACUGAGACACGAAGGCCAGGGGAGCAAACGGG
rnacentral:rRNA from 1 species